rnacentral:rRNA from 1 species
UACGAAGGGGGCUAGCGUUGCUCGGAAUCACUGGGCGUAAAGCGCACGUAGGCGGACUCUUAAGUCGGUGGUGAAAUCCUGGAGCUCAACUCCAGAACUGCCUUCGAUACUGAGAGUCUCGAGUCCGGGAGAGGUGAGUGGAACUGCGAGUGUAGGGGUGAAAUUCGUAGAUAUUCGCAAGAACACCAGUGGCGAAGGCGGCUCACUGGCCCGGUACUGACGCUGAGGUGCGAAAGCGUGGGGAGCAAACAGG